GCAGUACACACGAGGGCUGCUUGUGUGGGUGCCCCUGGCUCGCUGGAGGCAUCCUCCGUGGCAACUCCGAGUUAUUUUCAUUUUGCCUGUGUUUUCGAUGCCCAGGCCACGUCAGCCUAAAAUAAAUGCCACUGGACGAUAACAGUAACUUCAUCUCUGAUGCCCUGCUUAGCAGAUACCUGGGAGGCUUGUCAGCACAAUCAUCAUUCAAGCAAGCUGGAGGCGUGGAACAACCCUCAAUCCACAAUUUGGAAUAAAGAUUUUAGAAAACACGCAGCAACAAUACUGGCAGGAAUAGCUGUCUGAAGCACUGAAGAACUGGUCUGCCCUGGAUGCACAGUCAGGGAGUAAAAAAGAAGGAACGGCAAGUUUUAAACUGAGCUAGAUAAGAAUCCCUACGAAGGUAGGGAAUGCCUUUCCUGAAUAUAUCUUUGUACCACCUGGGUCACUCAGCGUCUAGCACGCUGUUCAGAAAGGCGGAUGCUGAAGAGGAAUCACAAUCUGAAGAGAUGGCAGGAUUGCAGAGAUGGUCCAGACAUCACGAGAAAAGAAGUUACUCUGCCUCCUGCUGGCCACAAGCAGAAGGGCCUGAGCUCCUUUUAGCUUAUUACUAGAGGUCACACGCCUCCUUCACAGACAGAACUUGUGAAGGAAUGCAAGACUGAAAGGGAAAAGAAGAGCGGGCUUCCUUUUUUUGAUUAGCCCAAACUAAGCUUUAGGUGUAAAUAAAUCAUUUAGAUCAAAUACCCUCAAACUCUUCAUUUUGCGAGCCUAAACCUGAGGUGGAGGCAUCCACGUUAGCUACAGGAACAAGGGGAGGGGC